CAAAAAUCGCUGAAGGAACAAGUACCUAUAUUUUUCUUUACAAAGAGAGAACUACCGUGGCUGCAAGUAGUUCAAGAAGAUGUAGCGAAUAGACAUUCUGGAGAUGAGUGGAAGAAAAGCCAUAUCCGUGUACGAGCGUUAAUCGUUUGAAGGAAAAGAGCAAGCUCUUUUCAAAUUUAGGUGGUACCGCGUGUCGAAAAUUGACUCGCCCUUGUG
rnacentral:ncRNA from 1 species